UGGCUGCAUUCGAGAUGAUAACUUGGU
rnacentral:sRNA from 1 species